rnacentral:rRNA from 1 species
CCACAGGGAUUGCCCUAGUAACGGCGAGUGAAGCGGCAACAGCUCAAAUUUGAAAUCUGGCUCUUUCAGGGUCCGAGUUGUAAUUUGCAGAGGGCGCUUUGGCUUUGGCAGCGGUCCAAGUUCCUUGGAACAGGACGUCACAGAGGGUGAGAAUCCCGUACGUGGUCGCUAGCUAUUGCCGUGUAAAGCCCCUUCGACGAGUCGAGUUGUUUGGGAAUGCAGCUCUAAAUGGGAGGUAAAUUUCUUCUAAAGCUAAAUACUGGCCAGAGACCGAUAGCGCACAAGUAGAGUGAUCGAAAGAUGAAAAGCACUUUGGAAAGAGAGUCAAACAGCACGUGAAAUUGUUGAAAGGGAAGCGCUUGCAGCCAGACUUGCUUGCAGUUGCUCAUCCGGACUUUUGUCCGGUGCACUCUUCUGCAGGCAGGCCAGCAUCAGUUUGGGCGGUGGGAUAAAGGUCUCUGUCACGUACCUCUCUUCGGGGAGGCCUUAUAGGGGAGACGACAUACCACCAGCCUGGACUGAGGUCCGCGCAUUUGCUAGGAUGCUGGCGUAAUGGCUGUAAGCGGCCCGUCUUGAAACACGGACCAAGGAGUCUAACAUCUAUGCGAGUGUUUGGGUGUCAAGCCCGAACGCGUAAUGAAAGUGAACGGAGGUGGGAACCCGCAAGGGUGCACCAUCGACCGAUCCUGAUGUCUUCGGAAGGAUUUGAGUAAGAGCAUGGCUGUUGGGACCCGAAAGAUGGUGAACUAUGCUUGAAUAGGGUGAAGCCAGAGGAAACUCUGGUGGAGGCUCGCAGCGGUUCUGACGUGCAAAUCGAUCGUCAAAUUUGGGCAUAGGGGCGAAAGACUAAUCGAACU